GGGAAGUCACUGGUAGAAGCCAGUACACGGAGGAGCAAAGUAGGGGAAUCUCGAAGGAAGGGGUACAAGGUUCGAAUGGGCGGGAGACAUUCCAAUGUCUCGUGGCAAGCUUGCCGCUUGCCUGCUUUGCUUUGCUUUGCUCGCUCGUCUCUUGCUCGUAUACCAAGAUAUCAUCGUCCUAAACCCAGCCCACGCUAUGUCGAAUGCCACACGAGCGAACAUCCUACUCUCCUCGUAAUCAAUUUUAAUAAGUACAAUAACAAACAUACGUAUCACAGGAACCCUCUAACUCUGACACGAGUCACGAAAUAACGUCAAGGUUAAGUUGGGUCUCGUCAUUUUUUAGCUAAUUCCGCGAAAUUAGAAGAAAAUAGUGUUUUAAUUUUAGCACGUUGAAGAAUGUCAUUUUUGUCAGUGGAAUAAAUAUACGUUACAUCAGGUUCGUAAGGCCCUCUGUCAGCUGAAAAAUGGCGGCGACCAAUCAGAAUGGGGCAAAGUUAUUUCGCGACUGAUUAGAGGGUCUCUAAAGUGAACUACCCCUGGCUAGAGCAAAUAGGUUCAUGAAAAAUCUUAUGUAGCGCUCGGUCGUCACGAAAUCCCUACUUAUCUGGCCAUGACGAGCGACGAGUGUGGAGUGUCCCAAGUAGGGACACCAGUAGAGUAAUGGAGGAGUGGGAAUCCCCACUCCUUAAACGCUGUCGAGCUGGCGAAGUGAAUAGAAAUCGCGGCACUGUUCAACGGGGGUUCCCAAGUGGAAUGGUUACUAGCGUCAGUCGACUGAUGUCAGUCAUCAUUGCACGUGGAAUUUCUCUUUUCGUUACAUUCCCAUGGAAAAACUACUGACGCAAAUGGCGCUGGCGUUUCAGAUUGUCGAUGGGACAAAUUUGAACAUGUACAAACUAUGAGACUUCGUAUUGUCAUCUUCGAGUUCUGCAGGCUUGGAAGCUGAAAUUAGCGAACUACUCGUGGACUGGCGCCAGUUCACCGAUGACGCCAGUAACCCCAUUCGACCAGGGAAUCCCGCUGAACAGUGCCAUGGUUCCUAUUCAUUCUGUCAGUUCACCAGUAUCGAGAGAGUGGGAAUCCCCACUCCUCUGGUGUCCCUACCUGGCACUCGUCAAUGCCAGAGUAGGGAUUUCGUGAUGGCUGAGUAUUACAUAAGAUUUUUCAUGAAUCGAUUUUACUCUACGGCAGCCAAAGAAGUUUCACUUCAAACAGGGUUCAAAUAAAAGUUGUGCAUAUCAUUUAUAUCAAUUUACCAGGCACAGAUUUCUACAAUUUUCUGGUUAAUCUCCUAUCAACUCGUCUAUCAAAAAAUGAAUUAUUUCUUGGUUGUAAUUAAUCGUGCUAGGACAACGUUAGCGUUAGAGAUUUAGGUAUAGUACAGAUACGACUGUGUUUUUCUGUUUGAAACUUGGAAGGAAAUUUUUGGCCACCCUAAUAGAAGCGCGAUACAAACGAAGUUUUACAUCAGAGUGCAGAGCAACAACAAGAUACGAGGGAAAGAGGAACGAAGACAGAGAGAGGGGUGGAGUGAGGGACAUUUGCAUAGGAAUGCAAGACUGCUCGAGCCAGUGCUUACGAGUGCGUGGCACGUAUGAAUGUACCAACGCGUGAAGGUUCCAAGGAAGGAAGCUAGCACACGCAUUUCCUUGUGACAAGUCCUCGAAUAAUGCGACUCCUGUUUUAUCGAAGAACCACCUAUCAGCGUAUGCAACGUACAAACUGUAUAAUUCUUUCGAGCAAGAUUACACCGAGGCAAGUUUCACAUUCAGGAGAUAAUACCAGUCUCGUGUUUGAGAUCUAAAAGUAAACGUAAUCGAACAACAACUUGUCGGUGUGUGCAAUGCGCGAGCCGGGUAAUUCUUUCGAGCAACGUUUACGAACCUACAUUACUCACGACACUUUUUUAUAAUUUCAUAUGUUUUGUAUAAUUUUUAGAAUAAUUUCACAUAUGUUCUAGUAUUUAACCGUUUAGCCUAUUCAUUUUCCCUGGUAUUUAAUUUUCUCAAGUAUUCAAUUCACUGAUCCUGAAUUCAAAUCUAUUGUUAUCGUCGCCUCAAUUUUGGAAUUAUACCUUUUGGUUCCUUACUGAAAAGUAAUCGUCUGGUGCGAUUAAAAAUUGUAUGGAAUACAGUAAUAUGGAAAGCACAGAAAAAAUAUUCAUAGUGUGUAAUGAGUGGUUGUUGAAUUGUAUUAAAUUACGAUUAUUCAAUCGUUCCUUGGGAGCGUGCAUAAAAGUUUGUUUAGUCUGCGAGGCGAUUGUCACCUUGGUGCGAGAAGUUUCCGCAGCUGUCGUCGAGAAAUUUCCGGACAAUCUCGAAACUAGCAUCGAGUAACGAGCCAAUCUCGAAAAUCGACGAUGACAUCAUGCCAGCAGUAUUGCGACCAAAAUAAAUAUACCAUACAUCGACAUUCUCCCACUUUCUUGUCUUCUACCACAUCUGAAGCCACAAUUUUUCUUUGGCGUACGAAUCUAUCGGAGGCAUUUUCGACCGUGUCGUUCCCAUCUUUGCAAACGGUUAAAUAGGAAAAAAGAUCGAUCGAAGGAGCUUUGAAA